rnacentral:rRNA from 1 species
GCUUACGGCCAUAACACCUGAAUGCUCCCGAUCACGUUGAUCUCGGAAGCUAAGCGCGGGUCUGCCUGGUUAGUACUUGGAGGGAACACCGCCUGGGAAAUACCAGGUGCUGUAAGCU